rnacentral:tRNA from 1 species
GCUGCAGUAGCUCAGUGGUAGAGCACCUCCUUGGUAAGGAGGGGGUCAUGGGUUCAACCCCCAUCCGCAGCU